CAUCAAUCGAGCUCUAUUCAAAUGUUUUUCUAGGUGUUCGCCCAACUGGCUGACCGAAAGGACACACAUAUGUGCAUCUAUGUAUGCAUACGGGUAGCACGCACGCAGGGCUGCAUUUGCUGAAGCAUAAACCCAAAAUGCGUCGCUUGAUAUCCUCUGCAUGUGCAUCUGGAACUGAUGUUGAUGAUGACGCCCGCUGCUCUGCUCCUGCUCCUGCUCCUGUUACUGCUGCUGGCACUGGUGCUGGUGCUGGUGCCGAUGCUGGUUGCGUUGCUGCUACUAUGUACAACUAAUUCCAUUAAAGCAAGCUCUAAGUUGAUUUUCAAUUGACUCCUCAUUUGAGGAGGGCCAACGUGGCAGCGGCAGCGUCUGCGCUGUCAGCAAUCAACAUGUUCAAUUGAGCAUAUCCUGCCUGGGCAGGACACAGCCAGAGCGACGCAAUGUGAUUACCCGACGCUAUUUCGUACACACACGACAGCAGCAAGGAGCAGAGGCAGAACCAGCAGAAGCAGCAGCAGCAGCAGCAGCAUCGCCCAGGACACAAGGACAUCCUUGAUGGCGUCUGUCCAGCGGGCGCCCGUUGGUUGCCUUUUACAUUUCAUUGGAUUUUAUGCGUUUUACUUUAUGCUGAUGUUUUUAUUAUUAAAUUUCCCUGAAUUUUCAUUUA